rnacentral:tRNA from 2 species
GGUAAGAUGGCUGAGCGUUUAAGCGGUGGAUUGUAGCCCCAUGGACAGAGGUUUAAAUCCUCUUCUUACCA